UCGAGAAUUUUGGGCAAUGGACGAAAGUCUGACCCAGCAAUGCCGCGUGCGGGAUGAAGGUCUUCGGAUUGUAAACCGCUGUCAAGAGGGACGAAAAAAAAUGACGGUACCUCUGGAGGAAGCCACGGCUAACUACGUGCCAGCAGCCGCGGUAAUACGUAGGUGGCGAGCGUUGUUCGGAUUCAUUGGGCGUAAAGGGUCCGCAGGUGGUUCGAUAAGUCUGACGUGAAAUACCGGAGCUCAACUCCGGAAUUGCGUUGGAGACUGUUGGACUGGAGUACCGGAGAGGAAAUUGGAAUUCCAGGUGUAGCGGUGGAAUGCGUAGAUAUCUGGAAGAACAUCGAAAGCGAAGGCAGAUUUCUGGACGGUUACUGACACUCAGGGACGAAAGCAUGGGGAG
rnacentral:rRNA from 1 species